AUUCUGGACAAAUGCCUAUGAAUAACACAGACGGAAUUCCUGCCUGCAGCAAAUCUCUCCUUCUGGGGGAGAUGGCCAGUGAAUGAGUCAAAUAAAGCAAUGAGGAAAGAGAGCAGUUGUUUCCCGGCCUUACUGUUGGCCAGCAUCACCUAUGAAGGUCAAGGAGUCGGUGCAGUCACCUGAGUCAUAAUAUUAUCACUGUUUGUGACGCAGAGGAACGAUUAUCACUUUUGUCUCACCUGAAGCCUCUGGUGCUACCUGCUCAUCGUAUGCUGGAGGAGCCAGAUGACUGCUAACAUACAUUCUUCUUUUGUAGGCAAACAAGCCGGAGCCUGGCUGGACCUUGUUUCAAUAUUGAUUGAUCCGCCCAACAUUCCCUUUCCAUUGGUGGUGGUCACUGCUCCAUCUUGCAACUGGUGCGCUGAACUUCUCACCAUUUUACACAGCAACACCCCUAAAAGCGCCCCCCUCUUCUCCGUGGCCCAUUUUGCUUUUAUUAAAAUAGACAACGUUGUACAAGUCAAAUCUUACAAAAUAAUACCCCAUAUAUGUAUUUAUAUGUAUAUAUUAGCCUUUAACCAAUAUUUGUGUUUUGACAAAAACAACUUGUACGUUUCCUUCUCUUCUCCUGUGAUCAGCCAUUUCCCCCAGGACCCCUGAGUCCUGUUAGUAAUGAAUAAUAUAGGGACCAGAAUCUGCCUGGCAUGUGGCUCACACCUAUAAUCCCAGCACAAGGGAAGCCAAAGCAAGAGCACUGCCAUGAAUUCAAGGCCUACCUGGCCUAUACAGUCGGCGUCAGCCUGGGCUUCGGAGUGAAAAAACUAUGUCAAAGAACAAAAUAAACAGAUCUGAACCCUGGAUAUACUCGGCACAUUCAUCCAUACCACUGUCCACCUUGUGUCUUGCUGAGUGCAUCAACAACACAUACACAGUCUUUCUUAUUGAGAUUUCUUGGUUUUUAUUUUAUGUGCUUGGAUGUUUUUGUCUGUGUGUAUAGCCGCGCACCAUGUGCAUGCAGCAUUCGUGGAGGCCAGAGGAGAGCAUUGGAACCCUGGAAAUGGAGUUAUAGACAGUUGUUAGCCACCAUG
rnacentral:lncRNA from 1 species